UGACCCGAGCUGAAGUCGGACGCUCAACCAACUGAGCCACCCAGGCACCCGAAAAAUGCCAAAUUUGAUGAAAAACAUAAAUAUAAACAUCCCAGAAGCUCAACAAACUCCAAUUAAGAUGGACUAAAAGAUACAUCCUCACCAAGACACAUUAUAAUUAAACUUCUGAAAGCCAAAGAUAAAGAGAAACUCUUGAAAACAGCAAGAGAGAAAAAAUUCAUCACAUACAAAGAAUUUUUAAUAUGUUAACAGAUUUCUCAUCAGAAACUUUGGAGGCCAGAAGGCAGUGGGCCAAUAUAUUCAAACUUCUCAAUGAAAAAAAACUAUCAGGCAAGAAUCCUGUGUCUAGUGAAACUGUCCUUCAAGAGUAAGGGAGAAAUUAAGACACUGAAGAUAAACAAAAGCUGUAAAAGUUCAUUGCUACUAGACCUGCCCUGCAAGAAAUGCUCAAGAGAGUCCUACAGGGAAAAAUGAAUGACACUUGACAGUAACCCAAAAUUGUAUAAAGAAACAGAAGUUUCGAUAAAGAAAUACAAAAGCCCACUUCAAAAUUUAGAUGGAAUCUCAAGGGAUCCAGAAUAGCCAAAACAAGCGUGAAAAAGAAAGAAGCUGAGGACACACACUUCCUAAUUUCAGAACUUGUUACACAACUGCAGUACUCAGAACAAUGUGACACUGGCUUAAAGCCAAACACACAAACUGAAUAGACAUCCCAGAAAUAAACCUUUACAUACAUGUCAAA